CUACGGGGGGCUGCAGGCGCGUAACCUCUACAAUGCACGAAAGUGUGAUAGGGGGAUCCUAAGUGCUCAGCUCUGCUGGGCUUUUGCCAAGAGUAAAAACCUUGGCGAAUAAGCGGUGGGUAAGACUGGUGCCAGCCGCCGCGGUAACACCAGCGCCGCAAGUGGUAAUCGCUAUUAUUGGGCCUAAAGCGUCCGUAGCAGGUCUUGUAAAUCUUAUGUGAAAUUGUUGCGCUUAACGUAACAGCAUGCAUGAGAGACUGCAAGACUUGGGACCGGGAGGAGUCAGAGGUAUUCCUUGGGGAGCGGUAAAAUGCUAUAAUCCAAGGAGGACCACCUAUGGCGAAGGCAUCUGACUAGAACGGAUCAGACUGUGAGGGACGAAAGCCAGGGGAGCGAACCGGAUUAGAUACCCCGGUAGUC
rnacentral:rRNA from 1 species